rnacentral:rRNA from 1 species
UACCAGCACCCCGAGUUGUCGGGACGAUUAUUGGGCCUAAAGCAUCCGUAGCCUGUUCUACAAGUCCUCCGUUAAAUCCACCUGCUCAACAGAUGGGCUGCGGGGGAUACUAUAGGGCUAGGAGGCGGGAGAGGCAAACGGUACUCAGUGGGUAGGGGUAAAAUCCAUUGAUCUACUGAAGACCACCAGUGGCGAAGGCGUUG